GGCGGCGAGCGGCGAACGGGUGAGUAAUGCUUCGGAAUCUGCCCAGUAGUGGGGAACAACCAGUCGAAAGACUGGCUAAUACCGCAUACGACCUACGGGUGAAAGCGGGGGACCGAAAGGCCUCGCGCUAUUGGAGCGGCCGAUGGCUGAUUAGCUAGUUGGUGGGGUAAAGGCCUACCAAGGCGACGAUCCGUAGCUGGUUUGAGAGGACGACCAGCCACACUGGGACUGAGACACGGCCCAGACUCC
rnacentral:rRNA from 1 species